ACACAUAGAUAUGACCACGGACAAAGCAAACUUUGGUACAUAAUUUAUCGUAACAUCUUAAUGCUUGUUGCUCUCAAGUGUGAACAAAAGAAAACAUAUGAUCCCUAAAACAUUGUUAACCAUUACUCCACUUCAAGUUCCAGGAUAAGGUUGCUUCUUGCCGAUGACUCCUUGGCCUCUCCUCCAAUUGACAGGAUGCUGAAGCUACACCAUCGCUGAUGGCCCCUUGGCUUCUCUUAUCCGAUUGGCAGGCUGUUGCAGCUACCAACCAAAUACAUCCACACGGGUUUGUAACUUUGUAUGCAGCUCCCACAAGGACCUAGGCACACACAAAUGGCCAGCAUAGUUAGUAUCAAUUAACAGGGGCCAAAAUAAACAGACAUGCCACACACAAAAAGAAUCAAACGAAAUAAGCAGACAUGCCACACACAAAAAGAAUCAAACGACAGUUUAUCACUGGAACAGAGACAUAGAAGAGAGCUGAAAAUACCCCAUGGUUUUGUUGAUGGAGGAUGAUAACAGCAAUCUGGACGCUGCCUGGAUCUCUAGAUGGAGAAUAGCGACAAAAAACACAUGUGAGCAACCAAAAGAAAGAGAACAUGGUAACUAAAAUCAAAAUAAGGGUGCAAACACAAAAACAAUUCAAAUAAAGUAGCAUGGAUCCUAUCUCAGAUAUUUCCCAAGGCAAUCCAUAUUUCAGUAUCCCAAAGAGAAAGAUUAGAAAUGUGUCAUCACAAGUAAAAUCACAAGAAAAUUGCUCAGUGGAUGCAUGGCAGCAUACUACCAGCAAACGUACCCAACAACCUGAGAUUAAUACUCGCAAUUCGAGAGCUUCCAUGAAAGUUGUGAAUUUAUACAAACAGAAAGGUAUAUAGGACUUGAUACUAACUUAGAAUUACAAGAUUCAACCAAUUUUGUAAAGGAAAUGGUAAAGAACCAUGACCUAUCAUCACCUGAGAGUUCUUCCCGUGAGUAGAACAAUGUUCAUGCUUAGCAUGCUUAUUUCAGAAAGCUAUCUUCGCUAGUAGUUGGUAGUAAGUUAAGAACCAAUAGACUGCAUUAAAGAUACUUAAAAAAGGGCACGUGUUAGGUGUUUUGAAUCUUGGAUAAAAAGGGUUGUACGAACAAUAAUAAUGGAGAUAAUCAUCUUUCAUAUACCGGUAGAUUUAGAACACAUACAGUAUAGUGGGAUAGAAAUAUUGAGAGAAACAACAGCAGCAAAUGCAAACUACAUCUAUGACCAUGAGCCAUAGUAGGGAAACCCAUCAGGAAAAUAUAUUAAUGCAGACAUGUAGUUAAUUAACUUAUUUGUAAGGGCCUAUCCUGCAAUUUAAAGGACAUGUAAUGAAGAGAACAUAUGCUGAAAGACUAACCUCAACCAUCGUCAUGGGCUGCGGAAAUAGCUAUUAUAAUCAGCCAAAGGAGCAAGGUGGAGCAAUCGAGCAAAAGGGAGUGAGGUCCACACAUUUGCAGAUGAACCAAUGACCAGAAACUGAAGAACGCAAUAGCAGCAGCACAAAUCUUCUUCAUAAUAAGAAAAGCAAUCUUAAAUCAGACAAGGAUACUGAUAUGCAAAUUUGAGGUAGAAAAAUGUUCAUUUUCCCAGGUAAAAACUCGCAAUUGGUCUGUAAAUACACUGACUAAAUAGAUCUGUAGAUUAAACAUGAGAUCCUACUAACAAACACGAAAUGACAUUCUCUUCUAGGUUCAAAUCAGCAAGGAAGUAGUAACCACCUUAAUUAGAAGGGUCUCCUCAGCCUGAAGCCAUACAAGUAAGGUGGCCCCUGACAAGGAGGAUCUCAUGCUCCAUGGGUCAGUCUGGUAUCCUCCAUUUUUGCAAAACUACUCUGGGCCCUGGGUCUCUUUUGAAAUCUACCACAACAUAUAAUUUCAUGUGCUUGUCCCUGUUCAGUUUCUACACAACAUUACAACAAUUUGUAACGCAGUUUAUAAUUUCUCCACAACAUACAUUUUGUAUAGUAUAGGAAAGUCUACAAAGAAAAAUCACAAUAGCCAAGUGUUCCAGCUCGAAAAGGAGAUAAAAUAAGUCAUGCUAUUCUUGCUGCAAAAACUAUGGCUAGAUAAGUUUUAAAGUUCAAAUUUUAGUUUGUAGAGACAACUUAAGAGGCAAGUUAUUAGCUAUUAUGCAUCAGAACGGAAUCUUGACUAAAUAAUAACUUACAUAAGCUUGACUAAAUAAUAACUUACAUAAGCACUGGACCUGUGAACACUCGCUCUCUGGGACAAAUGCAGGCCAAACUAAACUGAAUAUUCUACAUCAGAACAGAAUCUUGACGACAUAGGUAUGAAAUGGCCAAAAAGUGAACACAAAUAAUGUUUGUAUCUUAGUAUUACUACAAAGGAAAAUGGAGGUACUGAUCAUGUGCAUGCAAACAUACAGUGAGUGUUUUAUUUACAUUCACCUUUGAUUCUCCAAAUAUUUUAUGUGCUCUCCAAUAAAACAAAAAUAUUUGGAUGGUGAAUUCACAAGCGAAGGACAACUGAAGUUGCUUAUGUGACAUAGCGGGUAUGAGUGUGAUUGAUGUAUACAUGGAUUUGAGAUUCCUGUAUCUUUGAGCUCAUCCAUGAUAAGAUCCAUAGUCUUCCAUCUAUGUUUUAUACGGAUCACCAGAACCAACGUAUGCCAGAGGAACUCCAUGAGCACUAAAACAUAGCAUGACCUGCAAGUUUCAUGUUCCCUCAGAUAUAGUAUUUCAUUCAGAGCGCAUCAAUUGAAAAGGAUAAAUUCUAUAUAAAGUCCAGAAAAAAUAAAACAGCAAUAGGAGUAAUCGAAGUUAUAUCUGUAUCAAUAGUAAGCCAUUUUUGCUUGACUGCUAUCAUACUAAUUGAGGAUGCAUUCUCCAGGGAGCAAAAAGAAAGCAAAGUAAUUUUCUGAAUACAUUACAAACACAUCGAGAUAAGCAGCUCUCUUAUGCACCUGGACCCAGGAGGAGCUCGAGCGGCAGCCCUGGUUCACGGCGCGGUCAUCGUUGGCAAGAGGAGCAUGGGCCGUAGAGAUGGUUGGCUCCCUCCAACUUUCGUGUCGCCGUCAGUCAACCCGUGAGGUCAGCUCCAUCGUACAUUAAGAAAUUAUAUACGUAUAAUGGUAAAGAUAAUAACAUAUCCAAAGUUAUCUCCUUAUCUGCAUGUUGCUUUCAAACCUAAGACAUCUUGUUUAUUAGAUCCACUAUUGCACAGAGUUUGUAAUCUGCCACUGUGUCCAUACAGAGUAUGGCCAUGUCACGGUGCUGCACUGAAGAAAUAGGAGUCAGGUGGCGCUGUGUGUGCGUGCAGUUAUAUGUAUGCACCGGCCGCCGGGGUGCUGUGUAUUAGUUGACCUGUACAAUAUAGACAGUUCUACUGAUGGCCUAAAUUGGGUACAAGUAUAUGUGCAAGGGAGGUGACAUGCCACACCAUGAGGUUUCAUUUUACUGAACAAUCCAUAAGUAAUAUAAUAGAGAAGUUCAUAUUAGCCAUGACUAAACUAAUGGAGAAAUCUACAGCCCAGGCAUUGCUCCUGCUAUUUUUUCACACUUAAUUCACUUCACUUUUGCAAUCUCCCACAGCAAGGCCAUGAACAGGAAUCACACAAGGAAAAUCAGCCCCAAAUCAUAUAAGCUAAUGGAGAAAUCUGCCAUUGUUUUGCCAACAAAAUCAGAAUCUACACCCAAAAUCAGAAGAGUACCAUAGGCAUAUUCCUUGUCAAACUGAGAAGAAAAUUACGGAGACACAUACGAGGCAUCCCUGGCCUCCCGCUCCAGAUCGGGAAUGUAGUUUCAAGGGGAUUAGAGAGAGAAACUCACGGGCAUGUCUGCUGCUAUACUCCUUCUGCCGAGUCGGCUCGAGCUCCUCCUGUCGAGGCCGGGUCGAGGCCUACGGGAGCCUGCAGAGCACGGGGCGAGGCGCGGCUGGCUGCUGCACCUGUCCCCCGGCGUCCUGCCGAGUCGCUCUUCGGCUCGAGGUCAAGCUAGGUGGAGACAGUNNN
rnacentral:lncRNA from 1 species